GCGUGAUGCUGGGCUUAGGAUUCAAAUGAUUCCAUCACCCAGCCUUCAGGAGCAGCUGUGUUUGGAAGAAUUAGAAUAGGUGCAUGUAUCCAUGUUUUUUAGAGAAUAUGAGAAGAGUCAAAGACGUUUGGAGAAAUAGUUUCCUGUAUUAAGAAAGGACAUUUAUCAGAUUCUGAGUAUUAUAAUCAGCAUCUUCUGGAGCAAUAUAAACAACUUGGCAGAGACUAAAACUAAAAAUGAACUCUCCAUUCCAUCUGGAGUCCAUACGAUUCAGACACAGGUCAUCGUCCACUCAACCUGCCAGUGCAUCUAGAUGACUCAUACAUUUAUGCUCUUCUGCCCAUUUCAUCUGGAUUCCUGAAGUCCAUGAAAAUUUCAUCUUAGAGUCUACAUUUGGGCUUUUCCUUGACCAUAACCUCUUAUCUGGCUUGGUAACUACCUGUCAUAGAAGAUCUCUCAAAUGACCUCAUCUCCAGGUUUGCUGUGUCCUUUUGUAGCUCACCACAUGGUAUAAAAUUUUCUUCUCCUCCUAUACAUGAACAUUGUACUGUAGGGUUGUGACUGUGCCACUCUUAAGAUUUGUCCUGCACCAGGAGCGUGACUUGGCAUGACUCAGAGAAUAGGCUAUUGCCAUGUUUGACACUGGGCCUCCCAGCAGAUAUAACAGGAUUCUGCAAGAUUGUAUUCUAAUUUCAACUCAUGUAAGACCUAAAUCCUUAAAUGGCAGCUCUGUGGCAAGUAGAGGAAAAACGUAACUUCUUUUCUUGUGUCACUCAGGAAGGUACAUGUAUUUCUGGUUUGGAAAAAAAUGGAAUUUACAAGACUAUAAUGACAUACAUAAUCAUAGCAUGCCAACUUGUCUAAAGAGAAAUCAAAAGGCCUUCAUUGUUGCAUGAAGCAGAGAGAGAAAGUGUGAAGCGAUAUUACACUAUUUCCAUCUCAACUAGAAAAUAAGAUUGCAUUGAUUGUUGAGGUUACUCACUUCAGUAUUGUUAGUGAGUAGGUUUCCUCAAAGAUUAGCUCGAGUUAUGAAAACCAUUGCCUUUCUGAAGUGGUGAUGAUAAGAGAUGGUCAUGCUAAAUAGGAUGAGAGCUACUUACCUAGCUCUUUU
rnacentral:lncRNA from 1 species